AUUGAACGCUGGCGGCAGGCCUAACACAUGCAAGUCGAACGAGCGGCGGACGGGUGAGUAAUGCUUGGGAAUCUAGCUGAUGGAGGGGGAUAACUACUGGAAACUGUAGCUAAUACCGCAUACCAUCGGAUGAACCCAAAUGGGAUUAGGUAGUUGGUGGGGUAAAGGCUCACCAAGACGACGAUCUCUAGCUGGUCUGAGAGGAUGACCAGCCACACGGGGACUGAGACACGGCCCAGACUCCUACGGGAGGCAGCAGUGGGGAAUAUUGCACAAUGGGCGCAACCCUGAUGCAGCCAUGCCGCGUGAAUGAAGAAGGCCUUAGGGUUGUAAAGUACUUUCAGUAGCGAGGCGUUAACCACAGAAGAAGCACCGGCUAACUCCGUGCCAGCAGCCGCGGUAAUUC
rnacentral:rRNA from 1 species